rnacentral:rRNA from 1 species
GAUAGGUAGGGGCCCUGAGAGGGGGAUCCCCCACACUGGUACUGAGACACGGACCAGACUCCUACGGGAGGCAGCAGUGAGGAAUAUUGGACAAUGGGGGCAACCCUGAUCCAGCCAUGCCGCGUGCAGGAAGACUGCCCUAUGGUUGUAAACUGCUUUUGUACGGCAAGAAACACCGCUACGUGUAGCGCUUGACGGUACCGUAAGAAUAAGCAUCGGCUAACUCCGUGCCAGCAGCCGCGGUAAUACGGAGGAUGCAAGCGUUAUCCGGAAUCAUUGGGUUUAAAGGGUCCGUAGUGGGCCGGUCAGUCAGAGGUGAAAUCCUGCAGCUCAACUGUAGAACUGCCUUUGAUACUGCCGGUCUUGAAUUAUUGUGAAGUGGCUAGAAUAUGUAGUGUAG